CCGACGGUGAGGGAUGAAAGCUGGGGGCACGAACCGGAUUAGAUACCCGGGUAGUCCCAGCUGUAAACGAUGCUCGCUAGGUGUCAGGUGCGGUGCGACCGCAUCUGGUGCCGCAGUGAAAACUUGAAGCGAGUCACCUGGGAAGUACGGUCGCAAGGCUGAAACUUAAAGGAAUUGGCGGGGGAGCACUACAACGGGUGGAGCCUGCGGUUCAAUUGGAUUCAACGCCGGAAAGCUUACCGGACUC
rnacentral:rRNA from 1 species